CAUUUGUAUCUGAUGUAAUGUAUUCUACAUAAAACAGAUAAUCUGAAUGCAAAAACUUGUUCCUGGAAUUGAUAUGGAAUUAAAAUUUUGCCGUGUCACACACAUCAAUCUUCCUAUUCCAGCAAUAGAAUCAUAGAAUCAUAGAAU